CUACGGGAGGCAGCAGUGGGGAAUAUUGGACAAUGGGCGAAAGCCUGAUCCAGCAAUGCCGCGUGUGUGAAGAAGGCCUGCGGGUUGUAAAGCACUUUCAGUUGGGAAGAUGAUGACGUUACCAACAGAAGAAGCACCGGCUAAAUCCGUGCCAGCAGCCGCGGUAUUACGGAGGGUGCGAGCGUUAAUCGGAAUUACUGGGCGUAAAGCGCGCGUAGGCGGCUAAGUCAGUCAGAAGUGAAAGCCCCGGGCUCAACCUGGGAAUUGCUUUGGAUACUGCUUAGCUAGAGUUUGGUAGAGGAUAGUGGAAUUCCAGGUGUAGCGGUGAAAUGCGUAGAUAUCUGGAGGAACAUCAGUGGCGAAGGCGACUGUCUGGACCAAAACUGACGCUGAGGUGCGAAAGCGUGGGUAGCAAACAGGAUUAGAUACCCGAGUAGUC
rnacentral:rRNA from 1 species